rnacentral:lncRNA from 1 species
AGAACUCUUCAAUCGGUUUAGAACGGAAUUUAGAUCACAAGUAAAAAGGAAUCAAAUUUUUUCAAUCACCCAAAUGGUAGAAGUUAAAUAGAACCCAAGAAAGAUAAAUGACAUCCUUGAACCCAAUCCAAACAAGCACCAAGAAUAAUUGAAAUGGGAAAUCAAAAUUGAAAUACAAGUGAUAACAAUUGUAUUCCAAAUUAAUACCUUGUGCAUAAAGUGAAAGAAAGCCAAAACGUUCUCAACUCAAUUCUGAAAUAUUUAAUUACAACUAAUCACGUUUUGCUCUCGUAGUAUGAGCACUUGUGUUUCACUCAAUUUUGGCUUUUACCCU